rnacentral:rRNA from 1 species
GGAUCAAGGAAUCGGUCAUGCCUUGGUAUGUACUGGUUUUAUUGGUUCUCACCUUCUAAAGAACCACGAUGUCAUUAAUUUGGUGUCUUGGGGAAUCAGGACUGUUACUUUGAAAAAAUUAGAGUGUUUAAAGCAGGCUCACGCUUGAAUACAUUAGCAUGGAAUAAUGAAAUAGGACGUUUGAUUCUAUUUUGUUGGUUUCUAGGAUUGACGUA